CAGUCUUCAUGUGAAUUUUUUUAUAGAGGCUAGAUGACUUUGUGUGGCUGUGAGUGACCUGAGGAACACCCUCUCCAACCAUUGGAUCAAAAGAGAUCAAGAUUAAAAUUUGUUUGCUAAUGAUCUCUAACCUAUUUUGAUUCUUAUGAUAGAUUUAAUAGUUAGAUCUAGAAUUUCAGCAUCGAUGAGAUUGAUGUAAUUUUUAUUUUUAGAUCUAAAGUAUAUAUUUUUCAUAUCAAAGAUUUUGAUGUGAUAGUCUAAGAUUAGAUCUUAUAC
rnacentral:lncRNA from 1 species